GCUUUACACAUGCAAGUCGAACGGUAGAGGGGGCAACCCCUUGAGAGUGGGCGAACGGGUGAGUAAUGUAUCGGAACGUGCCCAGUCGUGGGGGAUAACGUAGUGAAAAUUACGCUAAUACCGCAUACGAUCUAUGGAUGAAAGCGGGGGAUCGCAAGACCUCGGCGCGAUUGGAGCGGCCGAUAUCCCACGGUUAGGUAGUUGGUGGGGUAAAGGCUCACCAAGCCAAUGAUCUGUAGCUGGUCUAGAGAGGACGACCAGCCACACUGGAACUGAGACACGGUCCAGACUCCUACGGGAGGCAGCAGUGGGGAAUUUUGGACAAUGGACGCAAGUCUGAUCCAGCCAUUCCGCGUGCAGGACGAAGGCCUUCGGGUUGUAAUUUGCUUUUGUACGGAACGAAAAGGCUCUUAUUAAUACUAGGAGUCCAUGACGGUACCGUAAGAAUAAGCACCGGCUAACUACGUGCCAGCAGCCGCGGUAAUACGUAGGGUGCAAGCGUUAAUCGG
rnacentral:rRNA from 1 species